GCCGAAGUGGUGAAAUUGGUAGACACGCACGUUUCAGGGGCGUGUGUCUUUACGGACAUGCGAGUUCGAGUCUCGCCUUCGGCACCA
rnacentral:tRNA from 7 species